CGGGGACUCAGCAGAAUUCAACUCAAAGAUCAAACGAAACACCAACUGAGCGAGACAAGGCGGAGCGCGCGCGUUUCUGUGUGUAGUGUGUGUGUCUUUCCCGACCCCCUAGCUGCAUGUGUGACAGUGAGUGCGCAUCGGUCACUCGAAGGAACGUGCUGACACACGGUUAACAGACAGAGCGACCGCAAGCACGUCAACGACACUCACUGACGAGCCCAACAAUAGUAAAUAAUAUUAAUAACGACGGUGAUGGUGAACAUAAUUAUAUAUAAUAACAGGCGGUGCGGUGCGGGGCUCGUCCCCCUUCGGCUUCGCUUCGUACCCGCACGUACAAGAUCAUGAUCCAUUCGUUCCCGCGUUUUACCAGAGAGGCUGCCGCCGGCGGCUGCGCGCGCUCGAGGAGGCGCGUGCCGCGUGAGAACAGAAGCCCGGCUCAGUCCUACCUGUCCUGCCGCGCGCUCACUCCUCCGCCAUCCCCGUCCCUCCUCCCCGAGGAAACUUUUGCGUCCGCCGCCCGCGCGAGCUCCCGCGCUUCCUGUCAGCGCCGCUUAUUCUCCACAGGUGAAGCUCCGCUUCCUGCGAGCGUCUGCCGGCUUUAACGCAAAACGGUAAACAACGGAAGUAAAAGAGAUGCUGCUGAACGAAGCGACGAGCGAGCUCUCGCGCUGCUCUGACAGAGACGCGACCGCGGCACCAGGACCUCUCCUGUCCAUUGAGCCCCAAACCGAGAGUGUGAAUGAGCGCGAGCGGCGGCGGCGGCGCGCCGCCGAGCGCAGGCACGUCGGAAGCUACCAUUCGCGGCGAGGGAGAGCGCGUCUCCCCAGGGCGCGCGCGCGUGGGGCCAGUGAUGGAGAGAGACGGAGAAGGAAACGAAGAGCACGCGAGAACGACCCUUGCGCCCAUCCCUGAACAAACCCAAAGAUUCCCCACCGUACCCAUUCCCGGUUCCCCCUUUUCCUCCCCUUCCUUCCCCGUGAUCGAGGGUACUGUUGGUCUCUCUCAGAGCUCCAAUCAACAGACGAGAGAGCACGUACCUGAGGUCUCCGGUGUCGUCUGUCACGCUCCUCCUUUCCAAAAGUAAACUUCAGUCUGUUAGUACAAGUUAAUGUUUGUGUUUAGAGGAGAAUUUUGUUUCUAUUCUAAAAUAUAAAUUCAGUUGCAUCUUUGAGAAAUUCCUCAUUGCAUACGCUGGAUGGAUAAUAAGAGGUUCAAGCUGAAGUUUUUCUGGAGUCAGA
rnacentral:lncRNA from 1 species